UAACGUGUACGCGAUACACACACGGGACUGAUCACUUUCGCCCGGACUUAACGUCACGGCACGGGCCACGGCACCGAAAUAAUAAUUGCACGCUCGCCGGCCAAUUAUUACGGUAUUUUUUGAUUGUGAACAAACGCGUCUUCUCGCCGAGUUGCAUUAUAUACGGUCUCCUGUGUAAAACGAGAGCCGUCCGAGUAAUAUCGAUAACGACCGAUCGCAUCCGCCGUGGCAAUGGCGAACAGCAUCAUAAUAUUAUUGUUAAUAUUAUUUUUCUCUGGGUUAGCAGUAAAUGCCGAAGAAUAAAUGA